rnacentral:misc_RNA from 1 species
GAAAUGCGAUAAUUAAUGUGAAUUGCAGAAUUCAGUGAAUCAUCGAGUCUUUGAACGCACAUUGCGCCCCCUGGUAUUCCGGGGGGCAUGCCUGUCCGAGCGUCAUUGUUGCCCUCAAGCACGGCUUGUGUGUUGGGCUUCCGUCCCUGGCAACGGGGACGGGCCCAAAAGGCAGUGGCGGCACCAUGUCUGGUCCUCGAGCGUAUGGGGCUUUGUCACUCGCUCCCGUAGGUCCAGCUGGCAGCUAGCCUCGCAACCAAUCUUUUUAACCAGGUUGACCUCGGAUCAGGUAGGGAUAUCCGCUGAACUUAAGC